rnacentral:rRNA from 1 species
AAGCAGGGGAUCGUAAGGCCUUGCGCUUUUGGAGCGGCCGAUGUCUGAUUAGCUAGUUGGUGGGGUAAGGACCUACCAAAACGACGAUCAGUAGUUGGUCUGAGAGGACGACCAGCCACACUGGGACUGAGACACGGCCCAGACUCCUACGGGAGGCAGCAAUGGGGAAUUUUGGACAAUGGGCGCAAGCCUGAUCCAGCAAUACCGCGUGAGUGAAGAAGGCCUUCGGGUUGUAAAGCUCUUUCAGUCGAGAAGAAAAGGCUACGGUAAAUAAUCGUAGUUCAUGACGGUACCGACAGAAGAAGCACCGGCUAACUACGUGCCAGCAGCCGCGGUAAUACGUAGGGUGCGAGCGUUAAUCGGAAUUACUGGGCGUAAAGGGUGCGCAGGCGGCUUUGUAAGUCAGAUGUGAAAUCCCCGGGCUUAACCUGGGAAUUGCGUUUGAAACUACAAAGCUAGA